GGAGAGGUGGCAGAGUGGUUGAUUGCGCACGCCUGGAACGCGUGUAGAUGGGAAACCGUCUCGAGGGUUCAAAUCCCUCUCUCUCCGCCA
rnacentral:tRNA from 1 species